rnacentral:pre_miRNA from 1 species
AUCCUAGUGCUGUGUGGAAGACUAGUGAUUUUGUUGUGAUGCUGAGCAAUGAGAACAACAAGUCCCAGUCUGCCUCUCAGCACAGGGCA